GACGAACGCUGGCGGCGUGCUUAACACAUGCAAGUCGAGCGGAGCGGCGAACGGGUGAGUAACGCGUGAGUAACUGCCCCCCUCUCCGGGAUAACAGUUGGAAACGGCUGCUAAUACCGGAUAGUGGGGGAUGACGCGCGUCCUAUCAGCUUGGUGGUGGGGUAGUGGCCUACCAAGGCGACGACGGGUCGCCGGCCUGAGAGGGCGACCGGCCCCAUUGGGCGAGGGGACGGCCAAAACUGCUACGGGAGGCAGCGGUGGGAGAUAUUGCGAAAUAGGGGGAACCCUGAUGCAGCAACGCCGCGUGCGGGAUGACGGCCUUCGGGUUGUAAACCGCUUUCAGCCAUGACGCGGUAGUGGCAGAAGAAGCACCGGCUAACUACGUGCCAGCAGCCGCGGUAAUUC
rnacentral:rRNA from 1 species